UCUCUCUGGCCUCUCUUUCGUCGCCCGCCUGCUCUUGCCUCCUCCUCCGCUUGCGCAGCCGGUCGGCACUCGCCGACCUCGCCUCCUCCGCGCGCGCAGCCGGCCGGCAGUCGCCGCCCUCCCAUCCUCCGCGCGCGCAGCCUGGCCGCCGCUCGCCGACCGCGCACCAGGCCGGCGCUCGCUGCCCCCAAUCGCCGGCGCGCACCAUGCCGGCGCUCGUCGCCCCCACCUCCACCCGUUUGAGGGCGUCGCCUUCCGCCUCUACUUGCUUCGGCUGCCACCAGCGCGGCCGCAUGGACCAGGUCGCGGGAGAGGGGGGGUUGUUGACGCCGACGGUGAGCCUGCGGUGGAGAGAGGGGCCAAGUACUACAUCUCCAGCAAGUUUAGGAGUGCCAUCAUUCAGUGUUCCGUUCCACCUUGAGACACCAUGGCAAAUUAAGGUGACAAAUUGUUGGUCUUUGGCGGUGACAUUGUUUCUGAAGAUUAAGAUGCAGGGGCUCUCUUGGUGGGCAUGAGGCGUGCUGGCAAUUGUGCGCAAAGGCCCUGACUGAAUCAAGGCUGUAAACGACAUCAAUUGGCAUGAUAAUUUGUAGAGAUGCAUGACACUAACAUAAUCUAUCUGUAUAGGUAAUUUUGCUGCCCACAUGAUUGAGCGAAUCUGUGGAGAGGAGUUGUGGAGCUCAUUGGAUAUCACACAUCUUGUGUUUUCCAUUUGAUAAAAGAUUGUAGCUUUCUUUUUCCUAUUAAAACAAAAAGGCCUUGUUCUGUGAUUAUUUGUGUUUAUAUGUAUCUGUUGGUUGAUGAUUUAAAUCCAUUGACCAAGUUCUUGUAAACUGGCAUGCAAAUAUACUGACAUUUCAAUUGUGUUUAAUAAGUUGA